CGCGGGGUGGAGCAGCGGCGCUCGUCGGGCUCCUUAACCCGAAGGUCGUCGGUUCAAAUCCGGCCCCCGCAACCA
rnacentral:tRNA from 1 species